UAACGGCGAGUGAAGCGGCAACAGCUCAAAUUUGAAAGCUGGCCUUCGGGUCCGCGUUGUAAUUUGCAGAGGAAGCUUUGGGCGCGGCGCUGUCUGAGUCCCCUGGAACGGGGCGCCAAAGAGGGUGAGAGCCCCGUAUAGACGGAUGCCUAGCCUGUGUAAAGCUCCUUCGACGAGUCGAGUAGUUUGGGAAUGCUGCUCAAAAUGGGAGGUAAAUUUCUUCUAAAGCUAAAUACCGGCCAGAGACCGAUAGCGCACAAGUAGAGUGAUCGAAAGAUGAAAAGCACUUUGAAAAGAGGGUUAAAUAGCACGUGAAAUUGUUGAAAGGGAAGCGCUUGUGACCAGACUUGCGCCGGGCUGAUCAUCCGGUGUUCUCACCGGUGCACUCUGCCCGGCUCAGGCCAGCAUCGGUUCUCGCGGGGGGAUAAAGGCUUAGGGAAUGUAGCUCCUCCGGGAGUGUUAUAGCCCUCUGCGUAAUACCCUCGCGGGGACCGAGGUCUGCGCUCUGCAAGGAUGCUGGCGUAAUGGUCAUCAGCGACCCGUCUUGAAACACGGACCAAGGAGUCAAGGUUUUGCGCGAGUGUUUGGGUGUCAAACCCGCACGCGUAAUGAAAGUGAACGUAGGUGAGAGCUUCGGCGCAUCAUCGACCGAUCCUGAUGUACUCGGAUGGAUUUGAGUAAGAGCGUUAAGCCUUGGACCCGAAAGAUGGUGAACUAUGCUUGGAUAGGGUGAAGCCAGAGGAAACUCUGGUGGAGGCUCGCAGCGGUUCUGACGUGCAAAUCGAUCGUCAAAUCUGAGCAUGGGGGCGAAAGACUAAUCGAACCAUCUAGUAGCUGGUUACCGCCGAAGUU
rnacentral:rRNA from 1 species